UGGGAUUAGAUACCCCACUAUGCCCAGCCCUAAACUUAGAUAGCAAAAUACCACCUAUCCGCCAGAGAACUACAAGCAAAAUACUUAAAACUCAAAGGACUUGGCGGCAUUCCAUAUCAACCUAGAGGAGCCCGUCCAAUAAUCGAUAAUACGCGCUCAACCCAACCAUUUUUGGCCACUCCAGCCUAUAUACCGCCGUCGUCAGCUAACCUUAUGAAAGAAAAGAAGUAAGCACAAUAGCCCUCGCUAAAACGUCAGGUCAAGGUGUAGCUAAUAAAAUGGAUGUGAUAGGCUACAUUUUCUAUUAUAGAAAAUAACGGAAAAUACAAUGAAACCUUGUAAUAGAAGGUGAAUUUAGAAGUAAAUUAAGAAAGUAUCCUUAUUUUAACCUCGCUCUGGAAUGCGCACA
rnacentral:rRNA from 1 species